GGUUGCUUCUUUGCUUCCAGCUGCAGAAGCCUACAACUCCAAUUUAGGAUUAAGAUAAUUAGCUGCGCACCAGCCUGCCAUGGCUUUAGGAUCGCAUAAUCAACCUGAAGUGCUGAAGCACUCUGCGGGGAGCAAAAAGGUUGGCAAGGGGAAUUCACUCCCUCCCGUUAGAUCAGGUCGUAUGAAGCGCAAGAUAUUUGCCUCUUUUAUCCAGAAGAUAAAGAAGUUCAUUCUUCUUUGCAAACGCCCCAGUGACAACUAGAGCUAGCAGGGAACCAUGGAUGGAGAUCAAAUAAUGUAGCAUCAAUCUUGUAUGUUUGCAUUUUUAAGAGUACCCAGUACGAUCGAAGUCAUGUGCGCUCGCUUUAUGUAGUUUCAAAGUAAUAUAAUAUGGAUAAGCAGAAUAUGCAGGUUGAUCGAUGUUGAAUAUA